rnacentral:misc_RNA from 1 species
AAAAAAAUGAAUCCAAUAAUAGUGAAGAUGGUAGGUGGACUCUUCAAGGGAAAACUGCCCUUGUUACUGGAGGCACUAAAGGCAUAGGGCAUGCCAUAGUAGAAGAAUUAGCUGGAUUUGGUGCUACAGUUUAUACAUGUUGUAGAAACCAAGAACAACUUGAUGAGUGUUUAGAGAAAUGGAGAGGCAAAGGUUACAAAGUAGAAGGAUGUGUAUGUGAUUUGACUUUGAGAUCCCAAAGAGAGAUGCUUAUGGAGAAGGUUAUCAAUUUUUUCCAAGGAAAACUCAACAUUCUAAUAAAUAAUGCAGGUAUACUAAUAGUUAAGCCAGCUACAGAGUUCACUGAGGAUGAUUACUCUAUUCUUAUGAAAACCAAUUUUGAAGCUUCUCACCACAUCUCCCAAAUUGCACACCCAAUUUUGAAGGCCUCAGAAAGUGGAAACAUUGUCUUCAUCUCUUCUAUUGCUGGGCUUGUGGCAUUGCCAACAAAUUCCAUCUAUGCAGCAACUAAAGGUGCAAUGAAUCAACUUACAAGGAGUUUGGCUUACGAAUGGGCUAAAGAUAAUAUUCGAGUGAACGCAGUAGCACCUUGGAUUAUAGACACACCCCUCAUCGAAGCAGCAAAGAAAGAUUCAUUAACUAAAGAACUUAUUGAAAGAAGUAUUAGCAGAACACCAAUUUGUAGAGCUGGUGAACCAAAAGAAGUUUCAGCAAUGGUGGCAUUUCUUUGUUUCCCAGCUGCUUCAUAUAUUACUGGUCAAGUUAUAUGUGUUGAUGGUGGACACACAAUUAAUGGUUCUUAUUAAUUAUUUUAUUUUAUGUCUUGAAUAAUAAUAAUAAUAAUGUACUUGAUUAAUAUGAAACCAUGAAAAUUUUAU